GUCCCCUUGGCGCAAUGGAUAGCGCAACGGACUUCUAAUCCGUAGGCUGUAGGUUCGAAUCCUACAGGGGACG
rnacentral:tRNA from 1 species